UGUAAUCACAACCUUUUAUUCUGCCCACUGAGUCAAGACAGUAGACAUCAUCAGGUUUCAGCAUCACUAAAUCAUUGAUUAACCAGGCUCAACCAUUUAGGAGAACCUCUGUGAACUGAGGGCCCUAUUGAGCCAGUGGUUUUCCUGUAGGCAGUGGAAUAGGGGAAGGUGAAGCUUCCUCCAAAUGAAACAACUGUCACUUUUCCACGUAAAACUGCUGGGGCUGAUCCGUCUAUAUUCUUGAAUAUAAUAUUUUCAAUGGAAAAGAAAAUCUUGCACCCCUCUUACCUUGUCACUCAGUGAGUGGAAAUUGAUUCACCCCAAGUAGAAAUAUCAGUCUAUAGAAUAUCAAAACCUCCAUAAAAGUUAAGGGUUCAGUUUCUACAAGAGCCCCAUAGCAAGCUCAUAGCUGCUUUUCAAAAGGUAGUCAAUGAGUCCAAACUCCCAAGACGCACCCCCAGACUGAAGCUGGCUCCCUUUGCCAGAGGCUCCAAUUGGCAAAAUCAUAAGUCACAGAGACUUAUAGUUCAAGUAGACUUUAGAGUUAAGGAACCCCAAAGGCACCAGUACCUCUCUAUACAUGUAACUCUUCCUGAUUGGAAUAAUCCCCUCUGGCUUUAUAGGACAGAGAAGUAAAGGCACAUAAGAUAUCAAUUUCUCCCACACAUCCAGGUGUAGAAACAAUAACAGCAUUACAUUGAAUUGGCCCAAAAGGCUUUACCAACAAGGUCAUGUUAGUUUUUCUUUCCUACCAACCUUGCUCAAAACCUACAAGUUGAAUUCAGGUCCCCUCUCCCUUCACAGGAUUUGGUAAAGUGGUGACUUGCAUGCUUGUAUUCAACGGAACCAUACAAGUUUAAGUUCCUCCCUGUCUGGAAGUUCCCCAGCAUUCUCAGACUGGUGAGGACACAGCGUUUGGUCCUUUUUGCUCUUCUGUUUCUUCCACUAUGUGAGGAUACAUCCCGUCCCACUUGCCCCUUCUGGGUGUGUAAGGACACGGCAACAAAGUACCAUCUUGGAAGCAGAGAGAACAGCCCUCACCACACACCAAAAUGCCGGUGCCUUAAUCUUCGACUUCCCAGAUUCCAGAACUCUGAAGAGAAAGAUUCUGUCACCUAUCAGUAAUAUUUGGACCUUUUACGUAGUUUUUGCAAUUCAGCCUACAAGACAUCGAUGGACCUCAUGAUUUUGUCAGUUUGCUCAAAGAAUUUUAACAUCAUAAUAAGAUGGUAUUUUUGUAUUUAUUCAUUCCUGUCAAACCAGAGAUCUGGAAAAGUAUGUCCAUAACACAUAUUAAAUCAACUGGGAAAGACAGACCAUUCAAACACACUUGUUUUGCUUUCUAAAAUAAUCUGGUAGCCCGUUUUACCAAGGACAAAUGUGAAGUUAAUUUGUCUUUGAAGUCCUCUGGUUUCCACUUCCUCCUUAGCUCUUCUGCUACUAAAAAUAUUUGGUGCCUCAACUCUAUUAUAGUUCUUUGCUUUCUUCUGAACAGAUUUAAUAUACCCCAGGGGUAUUUUUAAUUCCUCUGUGUCCCCAAAACUUUAUCAAACUAAAGGACUGUAU
ensembl:lncRNA